rnacentral:rRNA from 1 species
CAGCCUUGACAUCCUCGGAACUCGGUGGAAACACCGGGGUGCCUUCGCAAGAAGGAGCCGGGAGACAGGUGCUGCAUGGCUGUCGUCAGCUCGUGUCGUGAGAUGUUCGGUUAAGUCCGGCAACGAGCGCAACCCUUGCUUCCAGUUGCCAUCAUUCAGUUGGGAACUCUGGAGGGACUGCCGGCGCCAAGCCGGAGGAAGGUGGGGACGACGUCAAGUCAUCAUGGCCUUUAUGG